ACUGACUGCUUCAUGUCUCCAAAAUAUCUGAACAGGGAGAAAAAAGAUUACUCAGAGUCAGACCACCAAAAGGCUUAACAUUGGCUUGGUUCCAACCUAGCAGAGCCUGAGACAUAAUUAAACUAAGUUCUGCUUUUGGUCUCUUUUUUGCUUUUGGCCAUGUCUGCGACAUUGAAACAAACCUCCCUUUGAUCUACCGCUAAAGUGCACAGAGCUAUCUAUGUUCAUAUCCCCAAACCAAAUUUACAGUUUAAUGCGAAUGACAACCGAUGGCAUCAUCUUCAAUACUUUUUAACGCAAGGUGCAGGUGGUCCCUAUCUUAAAGGUUAGAUAUGAAAAGGUUUUCCAAAUGUUCUUUAGGGAGACACGAGAAACAGAUCCACCUUCAGCAGAGAAGGCCGGCUUCUUUAUGAGUUUACGCAGGACAAAUACGAGACACAGAAGCACUAAAUCAGAGCUCACUGGCCCGUGAUUAAAGUCAAUAAAGAUGUGAGCGUGAGAGUGGAGAAGAUUUUGCAGAGAGAAGGCGAUACAGAAAGAAGUCAUUUGCCAUUUGUUUCUAGAAAAAGACUAUUGACAGAAAAAGUAGAAACAUGUUUGAUUAAACCUAUUUUACGUUGAUGUAUUUUAAACAAAAAUAGAGUAUAUUACAUUUCUAAAUGUCCAUCUAUUGCACCUGACUGAUAAUUUACCUGUUGCAUUCUUCACCCUUAAUAAACAUUUAGUUAUUUUUUUUUUUAUUGUUAGGGAGCUGGUCCCUUUUAUUAUUUGGCUCACACUGACAUCUAGUGGCCAGUCUCCGAAACAGCAUCUAUUUUGUCUUCUGUGGUGUCACAUGACAAGAUGGGUGCCGAAUGACAUUUUCAAAAGCCUACAUUCAAGAGAGGAUUUUCGAUUUUAACAAUACUUUACUUUAAUAACACUUUAACAUGCACAGCAAAGAAAAUGACUAAUCAAGUUCCAUUAGGUUCACUUUUUUAAUAUUCUUUACAAUUACAAGUUCUGUGCAUUUUAUUCAAAGAUUCAACGAGUCUUUAUUGUCCCUGCAUUUUACCGUGGUGAAAUUUAUUUUUGGCCACUCUGGUCCAGAGUACACACAAUGAAGGCAAAAAGACAAACAGACAAUGAACAAGGCUUACAGUGUUUUGUUUUCUGUUUUGUUUUUUUUUUGGCUGUUAUUGGGCUAUUAUUUGAUAGUGUCAUGGUUGAGGGAUUUGUUUGCUUGGUCUGGACUAAUUAGUUUCCACUCCCCUCAGCCAAUUGUCACCUGCCACCACCCAAUCAGCUCUGUCCACACCUCAGUCUCCAGUCAGAUCAACUCCAGCUGCUGUCAGUAAUUACGGUCUCCUCUGGUCAUCUGUUCACCUGCCUUCAUGUACCUGCCUGACUCUCCCACUCACUGCCACAUCGUCGCAUCACCUCACUCGUGCUCUGCCGCCGUGGUGUUUUCAGAUCAUGUGUGUGUGCUUCACCCGCAUCUGCUCAAGUUUGGUUCCACCUGCAACUCCUGAAGAAAAGCAUCCACACAGCUGUGACCAGCUGGCGGUGGCUGGUUUCCACAUGGUGGCCUGCGACUCCCCUGGGACCCGCUCAUCAAUGACCCGUAGGAGGGCAAACUGUGGACCACCUACAUGGAGGUGUGGCUGGCAGGCAGGAUCCUGCAGCUGAACACUCAUCAGGAGGACCUUAAGGAGGAGCGGGAACCCAGAGGAAACAAGCCAUGACCCAUUCCAAGUUUAAUUGUUCUGCUGUUUGGCUUCCUUUCCUUCAGAAGAAAUCUUCCUGUGAUUUUGUGCUGCUCUCCAAGCCCUCCUCCAAUAAAGCAGCUGCCCUGAUCCUGAUUCACCCACCUGCCUGUCCACCUUUCACAUGCUUCAGUCUGUGAGUGAAAAAUCAAAACACUGCCUUGCCUAU